ensembl:lncRNA
GUUGCCUGCACUUGGCUCCUCUGUGGGGUUGAGAGAAGCCAGGGAGGGCAUGGGUUUGUUGGAGGCAGGGCAAUAGCCGUCCCAGGAGGGGCACCCUCAGGACCCGGGAGCCCUGGGUGGGAGAAGGGGCCAUCCCCAGGCUCACUGCCCAUUGUCCACACCUGGUCCCCUUCUCCCUGCCCCCAGUGUCUUAGAAGGGAAGGGGGCUGGUGGGCAGGAUGUCGGUGGGGGGCGGUCCCGUGCCUGGGACGGGGGGGGGCGCCUGAGCUCCUGGUGAAUUGAGGGGGCUCUCCCUUUCAUUGUCUGCAGACUGGGGCGCCUGGCUCACCUGCCUGCCCCCCGAGGCGUGCAGCUGCCUCCCACCCGGCCCUUCCCCUCCUCUGCUCCUGGGCCAGGUCCGCCCCCAGCUGGACGAAGUGGGAAUUACAAGUGGGCGGAGCGGGUCCCUGGUCCGAGAGCCCCAGGCUCCAUCCCCUGAGCAUCUCUGGAGCUAUCCCUCCAGUUUCCCCAGGGCUGGUUCGCAGAUUCAGGCGUGGCAGCUCUGUCCACCCUUCACUCCACUGCUAUACCGACAAGGACCUUUUUGGGCUCCAGCGGGCAGAUUCUUUACCACUGAGCCACCUGGGAAACCCUGCCAUGGAUGGAUUUAUUUUCUCAUCUGUUUAUCUUGAAACUGCCCCCCAACACGGGGUGGGUAGAUUGCUCCACAUCUACCCUAGUGUAGGGCCUAGAGAGGCGCCUCUGAGACGGAGAAGCGGCGGGGAAGCUGGCCAGCGGUGUGGAAGCAAGUGCCCGGCAGCUGGCAGCGCAGAGGGAGGACGGGGCCUCUGCAAGGCGGCCCGCCUGCGAGAAAAAGCGGAUCACUCCAACCCGCCCGACCGGUGGUGCUGAAAUUCAGAUAAGCCGGGCGCGUGAUCCAGCCGGCUUUGCGGCAGACCCACCCCAAGCGGGAACACAGAAGUGAUUAGGCCUAAAAGCUCGGGCCAUUUAGCUUUUAUUCGAUUGGCAGCGAGGCCCGGGGUGCCCUCUGCUUCUGCCGUUUGAUUAUACAUCUGUGCUCAAAAUACUGUUCCUGGAACGGAGGGGCCGCAGGCUGCCUUGGAAUGGAAAUCAAUUUGAUUAGAGAGCAGUCAAUUACCGUGAGGACCAGGCUGCCGUCCACCUCCGCAAAACAGGCCACUUUCCGAGGAAAUGCCAGCUUGCUCCGCGCGGGCGGGGGCGGGGCAGACCCGCUGUGGGCGGGACGGGAAGGCCUGGUGUGGGCGGGGACGGGUCGGGGCAAACCAUGGUGGGCGGGGCGGACGGACCGGAAGGGGCGAGGUGGGUGGAGCAGGCCUGCACCCUUGCUUCCCUCCCUCUGAGAGGCUGCUCUCUGCUGCCUUCUCCCCUAGAUUCCUCCUGCAGAGGCUGGACUACCACGUGUCUGGACCGCUCUGGGGGCCCUGACCAGGGAGGCAGGCCUGGGUCUGGUCGCCACCUACUCCUGCAUCAGAAGCAAGCUGUGCAUGUCACCAAUGUGGGAGCCCCCCGGGUAGGACUGGAGCGGGGUGGUGCCCCAGGACCUGUCCAGUCCUCCACUAGAACUCGCAGCACCUCCGUGCUGAACUCAAGGUGCCCGUCGAGGGGAAGUGGGGACUGGAGAUUUACCCCUUCCAUCCUCCUGGCUGGACACCCGCAUGCAGUGAGCCACCUGCAGACUGGAACACUUCAGCCCUGCACUCAAGAGUCAGGUGGGCCUGUGACAGAGUCCCAGCUCUGUCCUCUGGCUGGGGGACUUUUGAAGUCACCUGGGUGAGAUUUUGUAAAAUAGAGAUAAUAGUUUCUACCUUGCUGGGGUGUCAUGGAAAUCAGAGAUCACCCCUCAAGUCAGUGUUUCUAGAGCAUCUACUCUAUACACCAAAUGCAGUGACUGAGGCAUUGCCGUCACCCCCUAAAGGAGCUCUGAUGUUCAUGGUUUCAUUGGCCAAGGGGGCCACAGCGUCCACUGGGGGCACCAGGCUGGCAGGUUCAAGGAGAGGCUUGCAUGCUGCUGGUGCACAGGGUCUGUGGCCCCCGCAUCAGGGCCUUGUGUGGAGGGCCUUCCGGGCGAUGAACACACCUCCCUUCCUCUCCCUUCCUCACACACCCUAGAGAGAGAGGCGAUGGUUCCCAUGUAAUGCACGGGAAAGUCGAAGGCUGCCAGCUGCUGCUGCUGCUGCUAAGUCGCUUCAGUCGUGUCCGACUCUGUGCUACCCCAGAGACGGCAGCCCACCAGGCUCCCCCGUCCCUGGGAUUCUCCAGGCAAGAACACUGGAGUGGGUUGCCAUUUCCUUCUCCAAUGCAUGAAAGUGAAAAGUGAAAGUGAAGUCGCUCAGUUGUGUCCGACCCUUAGCGACCCCAUGGACUGCAGCAUGCCAGGCUCCUCCGUCCAUGGGAUUUUCCAGGCAAGAACACUGGAGUAGGGUGCCAUUGCCUUCUCCGAAGGCUGCCAGGGCCUGGCUCAAAUCUCAUGGCCAUGUCACUGAAGUGGUGCAGCCUCGUUGAAAAACAGCCUGGCAGUUUCUCAAAAAACUGAAUGCAGAAUCGCCAUCCACUCAGAGGCUUGCACCCCAAAGACUUGAAGAGAGACGUUUAAACAACAUUGCACACCCAUGUUCUCUGCAGCAGGUGCGCAGUGACCGAAAGCAGAAACAACCCCGUGCCCAUCAACAGAUGAAGGACACCAAGAUUCAGUCCAUCCGCACGAGGAAGUGCUAUUCAACCCUAAAGAAGAAUGAAGGGCCGGCUCAGGCUGCCUCGUGGACGAACCUUGAAAACACGAUGCUGAGCAAAGGAAGCCAGACACCAUAUUGGUCAAUUCCAUUUAUAUGAAAUUCCAGAACAGGCCAAAGCAGUGAAAAAAAAACAACCCGAAACCCUCAUGUCCAGUGAGUGUUGGAGCUGAGUGGGAAGCCGAGUCAGGCCGGCCCGGGCCAUCACCCUCCACCCAGUGCACCCCAGAACAGCGGCUUGACGCAGAGGGGCCCAGUUCUCAGGCAGGACACCUCCUGUGUGUGGCUAGGGGUCCCACAACCCCGGAGGCUGUGUGCUGUGAGCAGGGGGUGCAGCAGGUUACUUUGCCUCCCAAGUGGGUACCCCGGUGGGGGCAAGAUGCACUUCUGAACUAAUUGAGCUCUUGUCUGAUGGGAGGUCUGCCCCUGCCAGAGCUUCAAGGUCAAAAGAAAGGGCUGAAGGAGGCGUGUGCUGCAGCCCAGAUCGGGCCCGAGGCGUGCUCUGGUCCCUGAAGGGUCUGCCCGACUCCCUUCCAGACCAAGGGAAGCUUCUGGAAACCUGGGAGGCAGGCAAGGCAGCAGGGGAGGGAAGAGCCUCACCCCAGCCCAUGUGUCCCUGUGAAGCUUAGCCCCCCAGAUUGUGAGAGGAAGGGGCCCCCAUCCUCUCAAGCCCCUCAACCACUGGGGAGGUGAGUGUCUUGUCCCCUUACAGAGAGGUCUAAGCCACCAAGGAGAAGCAAAGACCCAACCCAGGGCUCUGAGUCCAGGGCUUACAGGCACCAUGACGAGGACCAGGGACACCUGGGCAUAUGGGAGGGAGGGAGGGGGAAGAAGGAAGGGAGGCAGGGUCAGUGGGCACUUUGGGCAGUGGUCAGGGGUCGGGAAAGGCUUCCUGCUGAGGUGUCCCAGAGCAGCUGCGAGAGCAGAGGCAGAGUCUGAGCCAAAGAUGGGCCCAGAACCUCAGCCCCAAUGGGGCGCGGAUACUCCUGAGGCCUCGAGGGCCCAGCCUGUGACACCCCUCCGUCCCUCCGUCCCUCCCCCCCACCAGGCCUCUCUGCGGCUCUGGGCCUGGGCCACCUCCAGCCCUGGGUGGAAGGAGAGGCCGCCCCAGGAGAGACAGCUGUACAUCAGUCCUGCACGUUGGUUCCUGACGAGGCUCUGAGUCAUAUGCUCCCUGUGUUCGUCCGCAGAGUGGAGCAGAUGGUGGUGCAGUAACACUUUAAAUUAAGUAUUCCAAAAGCACAUUAAAUCUAGAUUGAAUAAGACAGUUAUUGUAUGGAAAUUGAAGGCCCAUUGGUUCUUCUCUGAGUAUCGAGGUCCAGCAGCUCCUCAUCCAGUCUCUCCCCGCCUUGAUUUCGAGGGUGGCUCAUGAGUGUGCCUGGGCAGCGGGGCAGGGCUUUCCCAUAUCAGCCCCCCAGGGACCCCCGCCUCGCACGGACCUCAGUUUCUGAACCCCUGUCCCC